CCUACGGGAGGCAGCAGUGGGGAAUAUUGGACAAUGGGCGAAAGCCUGAUCCAGCAAUGCCGCGUGAGUGAUGAAGGCCUUAGGGUCGUAAAGCUCUUUUUACCAGGGAUGAUAAUGACAGUACCUGGAGAAUAAGCUCCGGCUAACUCCGUGCCAGCAGCCGCGGUAAUACGGAGGGAGCUAGCGUUGUUCGGAAUUACUGGGCGUAAAGCGUACGUAGGCGGUUAUUCAAGUCAGAGGUGAAAGCCCGGGGCUCAACCCCGGAACGGCCUUUGAAACUAGAUAGCUAGAGUCUUGGAGAGGUCAGUGGAAUUCCGAGUGUAGAGGUGAAAUUCGUAGAUAUUCGGAAGAACACCAGUGGCGAAGGCGACUGACUGGACAAGUACUGACGCUGAGGUACGAAAGCGUGGGGAGCAAACAGGAUUAGAUACCCUGGUAGUCCACGCCGUAAACGAUGAUAACUAGCUGUCCGGGUACUUGGUAUCUGGGUGGCGCAGCUAACGCAUUAAGUUAUCCGCCUGGGGAGUACGGUCGCAAGAUUAAAACUCAAAGGAAUUAACGG
rnacentral:rRNA from 1 species